rnacentral:lncRNA from 1 species
AGGACUGCGCUCCAGGAUGCAACCAAAGCCGGGUGCACAGCAGCCGGCAUGGCGCCAAAACUGAAGCCCUGAGCUGCUCUGCGGUGCUACCCUUUGUCCCUCCAGACUCUCUUUUCCUUCAUCUGUUUGUCAGUAAACCGAAGCCACCACAGUUUGUCAUUUGGAUGAUUUUCGCCAGAUGGAGAAGCUGCAGCUCCAGACUCUUGACAGCCGCACAACUUCCAAGGCAGUGGCCCCGCGGGCUGCAAACCCCACCUUCCUGCAGUUGCAGAGCCAGCUAAGAGGUGGGCAGCAUGCCAGGCCCCAUCAGCAGCCCCUGGAGCACACACCAAUUGCAGAUGCUCAGGAGACUCGGGGGAAGGAACGGGGUUUUCACCAGAACACCACAGGCAGGACCUCCCAGCAAAGGCCUCCAGAUGCUGUGAAAACCUAAGGCUCGUCCUCCUCCUGGCUUCCCAGGUUACCCAGCCACAACACACAGAUGCUGGGUCUGGGACGGCUCCACUGGAACCUGAGAUGACCUGAGGGUGUCCCAGUGAUAUAACAUAUGAGGAAAGCAGAAACAACUAAGAAAUAGACUCUGAAUGUGGCAGAUUCUAGAACUGAGAGGCGGAAGAGGAGCAGAUCUUCACUUUCCACACCUCAAGGUACUCAGCCAAUCACCUGUUCAUGCCUGAGAUUGUGAAUCCAAUAGGAAAGUACAAGGACAUGGAGAUUGUCAGAGCUGUUGUAUGAUGGUGGCAGCAGAGUCAAGAGUCCAGCGGAGAGGCAGCAAGCAUCCCAAGGAUCCCAUGACUGAGAACCAGCUUCUGUGGUUUAGAAGCAAGGCGCCAACUGGUAUGAGAAGCACAGACAGAUGGUGCCCUGGGAACACUGGCUGUCACGUGCUGGAGGAGGUUCCUCAGCAAGUCACCUUCCCUCCAUGGGCCUCUGUUGGAAAGAAGGCAUCAAGAUCAUUCCAGCUAUGAUUCCUGAGCUUUUAAUAUAUUCUUUCUGAUGAUUAAGAAAUAUAUCUGUCGAGCAUGGCAGCUUACGCCUGUAAUCCUAGCACUUUGUGAGGCCGAGGCGGGUGGAUCAUGAGGUCAGGAGUUCAAGACCAGCCUGACCAACAUGGUGAAACCUCGUGUCUACUAAAAAUACAAAAAUUAGCCGGGUGUUGUGGUGUGUGCUUGUAAUCCCAGCUACUCGGGAGGCU